CUCGCUUCUCGGCCUUUUGGCUAAGAUCAAGUGUAGUAUCUGUUCUUAUCAGUGGUUUAGUCUUUGCCAUUGAUGUAGGAUGGAUGCUGCAUUGAGGAGUUCCAGGGCUGGUGCCACGUAUCCAGCUCAACGGCUGCCCUGAUAUGACUAGAGAUGAGCGAAUUUACAGUAAAUUCGAUUCGUCACGAACUUCU